UGGGGAAUAUUGGACAAUGGGCGAAAGCCUGAUCCAGCCAUGCCGCGUGUGUGAAGAAGGUCUUCGGAUUGUAAAGCACUUUAAGUUGGGAGGAAGGGCAGUUACCUAAUACGUGAUUGUUUUGACGUUACCGACAGAAUAAGCACCGGCUAACUCUGUGCCAGCAGCCGCGGUAAUACAGAGGGUGCAAGCGUUAAUCGGAAUUACUGGGCGUAAAGCGCGCGUAGGUGGUUAGUUAAGUUGGAUGUGAAAUCCCCGGGCUCAACCUGGGAACUGCAUUCAAAACUGACAAGCUAGAGUAUGGUAGAGGGUGGUGGAAUUUCCUGUGUAGCGGUGAAAUGCGUAGAUAUAGGAAGGAACACCAGUGGCGAAGGCGACCACCUGGACUGAUACUGACACUGAGGUGCGAAAGCGUGGGGAGCAAACAGGAUUAGAUACCCCUGUAGUCCCUGAGCGGGCUGGCAAGGCGCAU
rnacentral:rRNA from 1 species